UACGUAGGGUGCAAGCGUUAAUCGGAAUUACUGGGCGUAAAGCGUGCGCAGGCGGUUAUGCAAGACCGAUGUGAAAUCCCCGGGCUUAACCUGGGAAUGGCAUUGGUGACUGCACGGCUAGAGUGUGUCAGAGGGGGGUGGAAUUCCACGUGUAGCAGUGAAGUGCGUAGAGAUGUGGAGGAACACCGAUGGCGAAGGCAGCCCCCUGGGUUAACACUGACGCUCAGGCACGAAAGCGUGGGGAGCAAACAGG
rnacentral:rRNA from 1 species